rnacentral:rRNA from 1 species
CCCCAGACUCCUACGGGAGGCAGCAGUGGGGAAUAUUGCACAAUGGGGGAAACCCUGAUGCAGCGACGCCGCGUGAGCGAUGAAGUAUUUCGGUAUGUAAAGCUCUAUCAGCAGGGAAGAAAAUGACGGUACCUGACUAAGAAGCCCCGGCUAACUACGUGCCAGCAGCCGCGGUAAUACGUAGGGGGCAAGCGUUAUCCGGAUUUACUGGGUGUAAAGGGGGCGCAGACGGCGAUGCAAGCCAGGAGUGAAAGCCCGGGGCCCAACCCCGGGACUGCUCUUGGAACUGCGUGGCUGGAGUGCAGGAGGGGCAGGCGGAAUUCCUGGUGUAGCGGUGAAAUGCGUAGAUAUCAGGAGGAACACCGGUGGCGAAGGCGGCCUGCUGGACGACAACUGACGGUGAGGCGCGAAAGCGUGGGGAGCAAACAGGAUUAGAUACCCCUGUA